UAAUGUCACGUCACCUGGAAAAAUUUCGCUCAUCAAGUGGAGCAUCACUUAAGAAAAAUCGGAUUGUGAAGAAACAGGAGAAAUUUUUAAUCCCAGAAUCGACUCCAGUUCGUGCCACAUCCAUGCGUUAACCCAUCAUUCAUAACAGAGUGGGUCUCCGUAAGCUGUAUAAUAAAGACGUCGGUCACCGCGGCAUCCAAAUCGAUCGUUGAUAUCGUGACAAAGUCCAUCUUGGCCAACGAAUAUUCUCUUCGACGACUACAAAGACGAGGACUGCAACGUGCCUGAAAUGAACCGCUUGAAAGAUCAAAGGUAACCCGUUGGUGAGUAUCGGCGCAAGGACCUCUCCUCAAAACAGGAAAAGAGUUUCCGUCACUGAAUUGGCUCCACAACCAUCAUAUGGGAAAUCAUUUUCAAUUACAGGAAAUGCUAUCGCCAAUUUCUUCAAUCAAUCCAGAUUUUCCGUUCAGCCAUCUGCGAUUUCACCAUGACCAACGCCCAUCUUUUUAAAAAUGUUAUUGGCACAAAUGCUGAAAGUUAUCUGCUGUAUUUUGUAUUAGUGGAUUGUCUUUUGUAUUUUUGAUUAAUACAUUAAAUUCAAAAUUGA